rnacentral:tRNA from 2 species
ACCUUAGUAGCUCAGUGGUAGAGCCCCCGAAAGGGAUGGUCGUUGGGUCCGAUUCCCACCUAAGGUA